rnacentral:tRNA from 1 species
GCGGUCGUGGCGGAACAGGUAGACGCACUUCGUUCAGCGCGAAGCGGGGAGACCCAUAGAGAUUCGAUUUCUCUCGGCCGCACCA